rnacentral:rRNA from 1 species
UACAGAGGGCGCGAGCGUUGUCCGGAAUCACUGGGCGUAAAGGGCGCGUAGGUGGCCACCAUAAGGCCGCGGUGAAAGUUCGGGGCUCAACCCCGGAUCGGCCGCGGCGACUGUGGGGCUCGGGUACUGUAGAGGCAGAUGGAAUUCCGGGUGUAGCGGUGGAAUGCGUAGAGAUCGGGAAGAACACCAAUGGCGAAGGCCGUCGGCUGGGCCGUUGCUGACACUGAGGCGCGACAGCGUGGGGAGCAAACCGG